rnacentral:rRNA from 1 species
UUCUGGCUCAGGAUGAACGCUGGCGGCGUGCCUAACACAUGCAAGUCGAGCGGAGAUAAGUUGAAGCCUAGCGAUUCUUAUCUUAGCGGCGGAUGGGUGAGUAACACGUGGGUAACCCUGCCCUGCACUGGGGAAUAACAGCUGGAAACGGCUGUUAAUGCCGCAUAUGCGCACGGAGCCGCAUGGCUUUGGGCGGAAAGAUUUAUCGGUGCAGGAUGGGCCCGCGCCGGAUUAACUAGUUGGCGGGGUAACGGCCCACCAAGGUGAUGAUCCGUAGCCGACCUGAGAGGGUGACCGGCCACAUUGGGACUGAGACACGGCCCAAACUCCUACGGGAGGCAGCAGUGGGGGAUAUUGGGCAAUGGGCGAAAGCCUGACCCAGCAACGCCGCGUGAGGGAAGAAGGGUUUCGGCUCGUAAACCUCUGUCCUGUGGGACGAAGGAAGUGACGGUACCACAGGAGGAAGCCCCGGCUAACUACGUGCCAGCAGCAGC